rnacentral:rRNA from 1 species
UCGAGCGGUAGAGAGAAGCUUGCUUCUCUUGAGAGCGGCGGACGGGUGAGUAAUGCCUAGGAAUCUGCCUGGUAGUGGGGGAUAACGCUCGGAAACGGACGCUAAUACCGCAUACGUCCUACGGGAGAAAGCAGGGGACCUUCGGGCCUUGCGCUAUCAGAUGAGCCUAGGUCGGAUUAGCUAGUUGGUGAGGUAAUGGCUCACCAAGGCGACGAUCCGUAACUGGUCUGAGAGGAUGAUCAGUCACACUGGAACUGAGACACGGUCCAGACUCCUACGGGAGGCAGCAGUGGGGAAUAUUGGACAAUGGGCGAAAGCCUGAUCCAGCCAUGCCGCGUGUGUGAAGAAGGUCUUCGGAUUGUAAAGCACUUUAAGUUGGGAGGAAGGGCAUUUACCUAAUACGUAAGUGUUUUGACGUUACCGACAGAAUAAGCACCGGCUAACUCUGUGCCAGCAGCCGCGGUAAUACAGAGGGUGCAAGCGUUAAUCGGAAUUACUGGGCGUAAAGCGCGCGUAGGUGGUUUGUUAAGUUGAAUGUGAAAUCCCCGGGCUCAACCUGGGAACUGCAUCCAAAACUGGCAAGCUAGAGUAUGGUAGAGGGUGGUGGAAUUUCCUGUGUAGCGGUGAAAUGCGUAGAUAUAGGAAGGAACACCAGUGGCGAAGGCGACCACCUGGACUGAUACUGACACUGAGGUGCG